GACGAACGCUGGCGGCGUGCUUAACACAUGCAAGUCGAACGGAAAGGCCCUGCUUUUGUGGGGUGCUCGAGUGGCGAACGGGUGAGUAACACGUGAGUAACCUGCCCUUGACUUUGGGAUAACUUCAGGAAACUGGGGCUAAUACCGGAUAGGAGCUCCUGCUGCAUGGUGGGGGUUGGAAAGUUUCGGCGGUUAGGGAUGGACUCGCGGCUUAUCAGCUUGUUGGUGGGGUAGUGGCUUACCAAGGCUUUGACGGGUAGCCGGCCUGAGAGGGUGACCGGCCACAUUGGGACUGAGAUACGGCCCAGACUCCUACGGGAGGCAGCAGUGGGGAAUAUUGCACAAUGGGCGGAAGCCUGAUGCAGCAACGCCGCGUGCGGGAUGACGGCCUUCGGGUUGUAAACCGCUUUCGCCUGUGACGAAGCGUGAGUGACGGUAAUGGGUAAAGAAGCACCGGCUAAAUACGUG
rnacentral:rRNA from 1 species